rnacentral:rRNA from 1 species
AUUGAACGCUGGCGGCAGGCCUAACACAUGCAAGUCGAACGAGUGGCGGACGGGUGAGUAAUGUCUGGGAAACUGCCCGAUGGAGGGGGAUAACUACUGGAAACGGUAGCUAAUACCGCAUACCAUCGGAUGUGCCCAGAUGGGAUUAGCUAGUAGGUGGGGUAACGGCUCACCUAGGCGACGAUCCCUAGCUGGUCUGAGAGGAUGACCAGCAACACUGUAAAUGAGACACGGUCCAGCCUCCUACGGGAGGCAGCAUUGGGGAAGCUUGCCCAAUGGGCGCAAGCCUGAUGCAGCCCUGCCGCGUGUAUGCAGAAGGCCUUCGGGUUGUAAAGUACUUUCAGCGAGGAGGCGUUACUCGCAGAAGAAGCACCGGCUAACUCCGUGCGAGCAGCAGCGGUAAUUC